AGCAGUCGCCGCGGUAAUACGAGGGGUGCAAGCGUUAUUCGGAUUGAUUGGGUGUAAAGGGUGUGCAGACGGCUUAUUAAGUCACUUGUUAAAUUCUUCGGCCUAACUGAAGGUCUGCAAGUGAUACUGAUGAGCUAGAGGGUGGAAGAGAGAAGUGGAAUUCUCGGAGUAGCGGUAAAAUGCGUAGAUCUCGAGAGGAACACCAAUGGCGAAGGCAGCUUCUUGGUCCAUUCCUGACGUUCAUACACGAAAGCGUGGGGAGCAAACAGGAUUAGAUACCCCAGAGUCCCUGUCUCUUAUACC
rnacentral:rRNA from 1 species